rnacentral:rRNA from 1 species
AUUGAACGCUGGCGGCAGGCCUAACACAUGCAAGUCGAGCGGCAGCGGAAAGUAGCUUGCUACUUUGCCGGCGAGCGGCGGACGGGUGAGUAAUGUCUGGGAAACUGCCUGAUGGAGGGGGAUAACUACUGGAAACGGUAGCUAAUACCGCAUAACGUCGCAAGACCAAAGAGGGGGGCCUUCGGGCCUCUUGCCAUCAGAUGUGCCCAGAUGGGAUUAGCUAGUAGGUGGGGUAACGGCUCACCUAGGCGACGAUCCCUAGCUGGUCUGAGAGGAUGACAAGCCACACUGGAACUGAGACACGGUCCAGACUCCUACGGGAGGCAGCAGUGGGGAAUAUUGCACAAUGGGCGCAAGCCUGAUGCAGCCAUGCCGCGUGUAUGAAGAAGGCCUUCGGGUUGUAAAGUACUUUCAGCGGGGAGGAAGGCGUUGAGGUUAAUAACCUCAGUGAUUGACGUUACCCGCAGAAGAAGCACCGGCUAACUCCGUGCCAGCCGCCGCGGUAA